UUCCCCCCAUCCAGUGCAGUGGGGAGUCAUUUGUGGGACUCUGCAAACAUCAAAGCUGGAUUAGAACAUCUGGUAAGUUUUAAUUUUCUCUUGAACAUUUGCAUCAUCUUUGAUAUCUGCAUUCCAAAUGAACACUUUUGAAUGAGCUUUGAAUACCUUGAAUUGAGAAAGUCAACCAUUUCCCAGAGGGUCAGGCUACUGUUAUUAUGUGAAGGCACUCACAUUUUCAUUUAUCUCCCCAUUUCAAGGGAAUUUUAAUUUUUUUAAAUUACUUUUUUUUGAUGUCGAGAUGAAAUAAACCGGACUACAAUCCUUGGAUUGAUGAUUGCCUUAAUUAUGAACAAAAAUUGUUUGGUGUUGGAUUUUUGGCAUAUCCUGAUCUGAAAACAACAAACUUGUGAUUAAAAAAAAAAA